UACGGGGGGGGCAAGCGUUGUUCGGAAUUACUGGGCGUAAAGGGCUCGUAGGCGGCCAACUAAGUCGGAUGUGAAAUCCCCAGGCUUAACCUGGGAACUGCAUCCGAUACUGGAUGGCUUGAAUCCGGGAGAGGGAUGCGGAAUUCCAGGUGUAGCGGUGAAAUGCGUAGAGAUCCGGAGGAACACCAAAGGCGAAGGCAGUGUCCUGGGGAGUACCUGACGCUCAGGUGCGAAAGCCAGGGGAGCGAACGGG
rnacentral:rRNA from 1 species